UUUCUGUGCUCCAGGAUGGGGUUUGCCGUCCUCCUCAACCUCCUCCUGGCUGUUCUCCCAGGCGUCUGUGCCCAGGUGCAGCUGGUGCAGUCAGGGGCAGAGGUGAAACGGCCCGGGGAGUCUCUGACGAUCUCCUGCAAGCCAUCUGGAUACACCUUCACAAGCUACUGGAUGCACUGGGUGCGCCAGAGGCCUGGGAAGGGCCUGGAGUGGGUGGGGAGAAUCUAUCCUGGUAAUUUUAAGACAUACAAGAGUCCGGCCUUCCAAGGCCACGUCACCAUCUCCACCGACAACUCCAUCAGCACCGCUUCCCUCAGGUGGAGCAGCCUGAAGGCCGAGGACACCGCGGUGUACUACUGCGCUAAGGACACAGCGAGGGAACUGCAGUCCAGACACCAACCUCCUGCGUG